rnacentral:rRNA from 1 species
UACGGAGGGUGCAAGCGUUGUCCGGAUUUAUUGGGUUUAAAGGGUGCGUAGGCGGCCAUUUAAGUCUGGGGUGAAAGCCCGUUGCUCAACAACGGAACUGCCCUGGAAACUGGAUGGCUUGAGUACAGACGAGGGUGGCGGAAUGGAUGCUGUAGCGGUGAAAUGCAUAGAUAGCAUCCAGAACCCCCGAUUGCGAAGCAGCUGCCUAGACCUGUAA